AUGGAGAGACUCGAUUUUGCUCCUCUUAGAGGGCUGUUGUGCUUUUUAAUAGGGCACCUCUUUCACGCUCACCCAAUUGCAUUCAAAAACGUGUGUGGCCCCCACACGCUCGCUAGUGUGCGUCCCGUGGUGUGUCCUCUGCCAUCCGGCUUUCGGCACCUCCGCGGGUCACCACGAGUCUCCUCUUCAUCCCUAAGGGCGGAUGAGGCGAGCCACGCUGCAGAAGGGAGGCAAGGUCAGCUGGUAUACCGCUCAACUUACAGCAUGAUUUGGUUGCCAUCGGGCUAUAUGGACACCUCUCCCUUCAUGGAGAAAUGCUAAAAUCACAGAAGUCCUGCUAUCACAAUGCUGUUGGGAUCUUCUUCUCUAUCAUGUAAGCUGAAAGAGGGAUCCCUGGGUGGCGCAGCGGUUUGGCGCCUGCCUUUGGCCCAGGGCGCGAUCCUGGAGACCCGGGAUUGAAUCCCACAUUGGGCUCCCGGUGCAUGGAGCCUGCCUCUCCCUCGGCCUAUGUCUCUGCCUCUCUCUCUGUGACUAUCAUAAAUAAAAAAAAAUAUUAAGCUGAAAGAGCUGGUGCACUACACUUUUCUGAUAUUUUGCAAAAUCAAAACUACUUGUUAGUUUUAAAUGGCAUGGAAAAAAUUAGGACAUGGCAAUACAAUUAUAGUUUGCAUUUCCAGUUGAGCCAGAUAUGUUAAACACGAGGGGUUUUUGUCCUCGUUCUCAUGUUGGUGGUAUGUUUUUUCUCCAGUUUUUGUACUUCCUGGAAACAUAUGCAUGGAAGGAAGGAAGGAUAAGGAUGGAAAGGAAGUAAAGAAGGAAGGAGGGAAGGGGCAGGGAGGGAGGAACUGAUAUGCCAGUAGAUAAGAAUAAUGCUCGAGAAUUAUACAUACUGCACAGAAAGAUUCAUGAAGAUUUGAAGAUAGAAUCAGCACCCAACAGGAAAAAAAAAGGAAUUGUAUGAUUUCCACAGUAGCGAUGUUAAUCAUUACAAUGACCUAACAGCAAGGAACCUGGAAAAGCCUUUAGUGUUUUCUCUCAUUUUUCAGCAAAAUAUCCAGAGUGUCCCCACAACACACUAUAUUAUUUUAUGUCUGUUUUCAUACGAAGUCAUUCUCUGCAUCUAAACUAAACUUCUCUCCUGCCUGAACUCUCUGCCAGUGAUUCCUGUAGGCAGUGGGGAACAUGAGAGAACAUGAGAGCCACAUCAUUUCUGGGGUGGUGGGGUCCCUCAGGCUGAUAUAACAGGAGAAGCAGAAAUUCCUCAUACAGGUGAAAAGUAGGGCUAGGGAGUAACCCACUUACCCCAAGGUAAGCAGUUGAACUCAGUACUGCAUAAAUAUAGAGAAAAGAACGCUGGGGAGCAAUAUGAAUAAAACCUGGAAAGAAGAUGCACUAGAGGGCACAAACCUGCAAGUCAAUUAUGGGUAAGGGACACAGAGGUCAUCUGAGGUUGUCACUUUCCAUAACAGAAAUGGUCUCUUGAUGUGACCAUCGUUUGCAAACGCAAGGAACUAUAUUUAUUUCUAAUGAAAUAGCCAAAUAGUCUGGGAGUAUUUACAUUCCAAGGUUUUGUGGAAUCAUCACUUUAUUCAUUCAUUCAUUCCUUCAUUCAACUAAUUUAAUCUAUCAUCAUCAUCAUCAUCAUCAUCAUCACUGAUGUCAAGCAUUCUUCACCUUUCCCUGUUAACCAGACAAAUGCCGUACAUCUGAUUAAUUAAUUCCAGUGGUUCUCAAUUCUAGCUGUAUAUU
rnacentral:lncRNA from 1 species